GGGUUGUGAGGUUAAGCGACUAAGCGUACACGGUGGAUGCCCUGGCAGUCAGAGGCGAUGAAGGACGUGCUAAUCUGCGAUAAGCGUCGGUAAGGUGAUAUGAACCGUUAUAACCGGCGAUUUCCGAAUGGGGAAACCCAGUGUGAUUCGUCACACUAUCAUUAACUGAAUCCAUAGGUUAAUGAGGCGAACCGGGGGAACUGAAACAUCUAAGUACCCCGAGGAAAAGAAAUCAACCGAGAUUCCCCCAGUAGCGGCGAGCGAACGGGGAGCAGCCCAGAGCCUGAAUCAGUGUGUGUGUUAGUGGAAGCGUCUGGAAAGGCGCGCGAUACAGGGUGACAGCCCCGUACACAAAAAUGCACAUGCUGUGAGCUCGAUGAGUAGGGCGGGACACGUGGUAUCCUGUCUGAAUAUGGGGGGACCAUCCUCCAAGGCUAAAUACUCCUGACUGACCGAUAGUGAACCAGUACCGUGAGGGAAAGGCGAAAAGAACCCCGGCGAGGGGAGUGAAAAAGAACCUGAAACCGUGUACGUACAAGCAGUGGGAGCACGCUUAGGCGUGUGACUGCGUACCUUUUGUAUAAUGGGUCAGCGACUUAUAUUCUGUAGCAAGGUUAACCGAAUAGGGGAGCCGAAGGGAAACCGAGUCUUAACUGGGCGUUAAGUUGCAGGGUAUAGACCCGAAACCCGGUGAUCUAGCCAUGGGCAGGUUGAAGGUUGGGUAACACUAACUGGAGGACCGAACCGACUAAUGUUGAAAAAUUAGCGGAUGACUUGUGGCUGGGGGUGAAAGGCCAAUCAAACCGGGAGAUAGCUGGUUCUCCCCGAAAGCUAUUUAGGUAGCGCCUCGUGAAUUCAUCUCCGGGGGUAGAGCACUGUUUCGGCAAGGGGGUCAUCCCGACUUACCAACCCGAUGCAAACUGCGAAUACCGGAGAAUGUUAUCACGGGAGACACACGGCGGGUGCUAACGUCCGUCGUGAAGAGGGAAACAACCCAGACCGCCAGCUAAGGUCCCAAAGUCAUGGUUAAGUGGGAAACGAUGUGGGAAGGCCCAGACAGCCAGGAUGUUGGCUUAGAAGCAGCCAUCAUUUAAAGAAAGCGUAAUAGCUCACUGGUCGAGUCGGCCUGCGCGGAAGAUGUAACGGGGCUAAACCAUGCACCGAAGCUGCGGCAGCGACGCUGAUGCGUUGUUGGGUAGGGGAGCGUUCUGUAAGCCUGCGAAGGUGUGCUGUGAGGCAUGCUGGAGGUAUCAGAAGUGCGAAUGCUGACAUAAGUAACGAUAAAGCGGGUGAAAAGCCCGCUCGCCGGAAGACCAAGGGUUCCUGUCCAACGUUAAUCGGGGCAGGGUGAGUCGACCCCUAAGGCGAGGCCGAAAGGCGUAGUCGAUGGGAAACAGGUUAAUAUUCCUGUACUUGGUGUUACUGCGAAGGGGGGACGGAGAAGGCUAUGUUGGCCGGGCGACGGUUGUCCCGGUUUAAGCGUGUAGGCUGGUUUUCCAGGCAAAUCCGGAAAAUCAAGGCUGAGGCGUGAUGACGAGGCACUACGGUGCUGAAGCAACAAAUGCCCUGCUUCCAGGAAAAGCCUCUAAGCAUCAGGUAACAUCAAAUCGUACCCCAAACCGACACAGGUGGUCAGGUAGAGAAUACCAAGGCGCUUGAGAGAACUCGGGUGAAGGAACUAGGCAAAAUGGUGCCGUAACUUCGGGAGAAGGCACGCUGAUAUGUAGGUGAAGUGAUUUACUCAUGGAGCUGAAAUCAGUCGAAGAUACCAGCUGGCUGCAACUGUUUAUUAAAAACACAGCACUGUGCAAACACGAAAGUGGACGUAUACGGUGUGACGCCUGCCCGGUGCCGGAAGGUUAAUUGAUGGGGUUAGCGCAAGCGAAGCUCUUGAUCGAAGCCCCGGUAAACGGCGGCCGUAACUAUAACGGUCCUAAGGUAGCGAAAUUCCUUGUCGGGUAAGUUCCGACCUGCACGAAUGGCGUAAUGAUGGCCAGGCUGUCUCCACCCGAGACUCAGUGAAAUUGAACUCGCUGUGAAGAUGCAGUGUACCCGCGGCAAGACGGAAAGACCCCGUGAACCUUUACUAUAGCUUGACACUGAACAUUGAGCCUUGAUGUGUAGGAUAGGUGGGAGGCUUUGAAGUGUGGACGCCAGUCUGCAUGGAGCCGACCUUGAAAUACCACCCUUUAAUGUUUGAUGUUCUAACGUUGACCCGUAAUCCGGGUUGCGGACAGUGUCUGGUGGGUAGUUUGACUGGGGCGGUCUCCUCCUAAAGAGUAACGGAGGAGCACGAAGGUUGGCUAAUCCUGGUCGGACAUCAGGAGGUUAGUGCAAUGGCAUAAGCCAGCUUGACUGCGAGCGUGACGGCGCGAGCAGGUGCGAAAGCAGGUCAUAGUGAUCCGGUGGUUCUGAAUGGAAGGGCCAUCGCUCAACGGAUAAAAGGUACUCCGGGGAUAACAGGCUGAUACCGCCCAAGAGUUCAUAUCGACGGCGGUGUUUGGCACCUCGAUGUCGGCUCAUCACAUCCUGGGGCUGAAGUAGGUCCCAAGGGUAUGGCUGUUCGCCAUUUAAAGUGGUACGCGAGCUGGGUUUAGAACGUCGUGAGACAGUUCGGUCCCUAUCUGCCGUGGGCGCUGGAGAAUUGAGGGGGGCUGCUCCUAGUACGAGAGGACCGGAGUGGACGCAUCACUGGUGUUCGGGUUGUCAUGCCAAUGGCACUGCCCGGUAGCUAAAUGCGGAAGAGAUAAGUGCUGAAAGCAUCUAAGCACGAAACUUGCCCCGAGAUGAGUUCUCCCUGACUCCUUGAGAGUCCUGAAGGAACGUUGAAGACGACGACGUUGAUAGGCCGGGUGUGUAAGCGCAGCGAUGCGUUGAGCUAACCGGUACUAAUGAACCGUGAGGCUUAACCUUACAACGCCGAAGCUGUU
rnacentral:rRNA from 1 species